AGACUUCAAACCAUCCCUCUCCACAGUUGCCUAAGAAAGGCUCAUCAAUAGCAGAGAGCGCCACUCCGCACAACAUGUAUGUCAGAAGCCCCAAAGCAGCACACACAUCAGCACAGAAACUCUCUGACUCUGACCACGAUUAUGAGUCUAUCCAAGAAUCAUUUGAAAACUUCAUUAGUUAAAGGACACUUUGUAUUCAGCUGUGUCUGCAUAGCAGACGUGCCAAAGAAACCCAAGAAAUCAAAGAACCAGCUAAUAUGGAGUCUCCGGUGCACCCAUAGCUAAUGCUAAUCUGAAAUAUUUCAUUGUGUCUAAAUACUCAAAGACAAUGCAAGGUUUAACACAUAUACCAUUUAUUGUAAAUUAUAAAAUGCCAUUUUUAUUGCUUUUUAUGACAUGCUGACCUCUAAAGACAGAAAAUAAGUUAAAAUGAGUAUGCUUCUAUUAAAAUGACUAAAACAAACUAAAAUGAUGCAUUCAUGUACACACACACACACACACACACACACACAUAUACUAUGUAGAUAAGAAAUGGGCUUAUAAAUGCAAUCUGAUGAAUAAAGGUAAUUAGUCUUCA